UUCACUCCCACCCCACGCAUCCCUAGCCCUAACCUCUUCGCCGAGCUCUCUUCGGAUCUGCCGCACGGUUCUGUCUCGCUGCGCCUCCACCUCUCGGCGUCCCUCUCAUGCUUCGUCUCUUGUAUUCUGCUCGUUCUCUCGUGCCUAGUGUGCUCCACUGCUCGUAUUCUACUCGCCGCACCUCUGUCCCUCACUACGUCGUGCCUACGUGCCUCCGUGCUUCCAUGCCUCCCUCGCCGUGCCACGCCUCCGUCCCUUGCGGCUGGUUUCUCUACCUGAAGUGCUGCUCGUUGUCCACGGUUCUGCCUCUACAACAGCUACUUAUGAUGUUAGUGUUCAGAACACUUUAAGAUAUGCAUGUGUUCCAGUUUAUGGUAUCUCAAGAUUGAAUCUUCUGAGCUAUGCUAGUUCAUUCCAAAUUUAUGUGGCUCACUUGGCUGCAAUAUCAGAGAAGUUAUAUAGCCAAGCUCAUGUUUGUCUACAUAGAUCCUUCUUUGAGUACUAUCUUCGAAGAGCAGGGUCAACCAUUUUCACCACUUUUUUAGUCCAGAUAGACAUUGGUUCGAUACCAGGUGUAUAUGGUGGUGACGGAAGAACUCCCGAAGAGAUGAAUAGACCUCACAAAAAUGAAUGGUUCAGAGGGUGGGAGGCUGCAAUACAAGAACUGAUUUUUAGAUUAUUUGUAUUACACUGAAACUAUAUUUUCUAUGAUUUUCGUUAUUAAAUUUCAAUUUUCAAUAACACAAAUUACAUAAUCUUGUGAUUUUUUAUGGUGUACCAUGAUAUGAUAAAGACACAAACUAUAUUAUAUGAAUCCACACAAAUGUAAAAUAUUACAUGAUCAUAAUGAAUAUUUGAA